GACGAACGCUGGCGGCGUGCUUAACACAUGCAAGUCGAACGGAAAGGCCCCUUUAGGGGUACUCGACUGGCGGACGGGUGCGUAACACGUGAGUAACCUUCCCUUUCUUUCGUGAUAACUUCAGGAAACUGGGGCUAAUACCGGUAAGGAAUCCUUGCUGCAUGGGGGGGGUUGGGAAGAUUCUGGGGUUUUGGGUGGACUCGCGGCCUAUUGGCGUGUUGGUGGGUUAGUGGCUUACCAAGGCAUUAACGGGUAGCCGGCCUGAGGGGGCGACCGGCCACACUGGGACUGAGAGAAGGCACAGACGGCGACGGGAGGCAGAAGUGCGGAAUAUUGCACAAGGCGUGGAGGCCUGAUGCAGCAAGGCCGCGGGCGGGAUAACGCCCUUCGGGUUGAAGACCGGUUUCAGCAGGAGCGCAGCUUGUGGUGACGGUACCUGAAGAAGAAGCACCGGCUAACUACGUG
rnacentral:rRNA from 1 species